rnacentral:misc_RNA from 1 species
GAUGAAGAACGUAGCGAAAUGCGAUAAGUAAUGUGAAUUGCAGAACUCAGUGAAUCAUCGAAUCUUUGAACGCACAUUGCGCCCUCUGGUAUUCCGGGGGGCAUGCCUGUCCGAGCGUCAUUUGCAACCCUCAAGCCCGGCUUGUGUGAUGGGUGCCGUCCCCUACGGGACGCGCCCCGAAGGCAAUGGCGGCGUCGCGGUUAUCCGAUCAGCCAAAGUGUAUGGGGCUUUGUCACUCACUUUACGGCCCGGACCGGCGCCAGUCCGAAUCAAUCUUUUUUCUAAAGUUGACCUCGGAUCAGGUAGGGAUACCCGCUGAACUUAAGCAUAUCAAUAAGCGGAGGA